AUUGAACGCUGGCGGCACGCUUUACACAUGCAAGUCGAACGGUAACAGGUUAAGCUGACGAGUGGCGAACGGGUGAGUAAUGCAUCGGAACGUGCCCGGUCGUGGGGGAUAACGCAGCGAAAGCUGCGCUAAUACCGCAUACGAUCUGAGGAUGAAAGCGGGGGACCGUAAGGCCUCGCGCGAUCGGAGCGGCCGAUGUCAGAUUAGGUAGUUGGUGGGGUAAAGGCUCACCAAGCCAACGAUCUGUAGCUGGUCUGAGAGGACGACCAGCCACACUGGGACUGAGACACGGCCCAGACUCCGACGGGAGGCAGCAGUGGGGAAUUUUGGACAAUGGGCGAAAGCCUGAUCCAGCAAUGCCGCGUGCAGGAAGAAGGCCUUCGGGUUGUAAACUGCUUUUGUACGGAGCGAAAAGGUCUCCUCUAAUACAGGGGGCUCAUGACGGUACCGUAAGAAUAAGCACCGGCUAACUACGUGCCAGCCGCCGCAGUAA
rnacentral:rRNA from 1 species